AUGGGGAAAACUUCGGGGUGGUCCAGGGACCACCCUGUCCACCCCCUAGCUACACCACUGCCUGUCGCCACGGACUAUAUGAUCGAGAAGGGUCAAACGACAGACGAGGCGGUCGCUCUUGCAGUCACCUUCACGCAUCGGACCACCGCACCCCAUGCAUGGCCGCGUCUCAUUAGAAACCCUAGCACUAGCAGCCACGCCCGGAUCGAUCUUUCUCACGUACAACCAGACCGAUCGAGCAACUCAACCCGUCUAAACAUGCCUGCGCCGCCGCGACCUUGGGCGGACCUCCCGUCGGAGCUGCUCGCUGUCGUCUCCGGCCGCCUGCACGAUCCCACCGACUUUAUCCGCUUCCACGCCGUCUGCACAUCAUGGCGGGAGUCGCUGCCCAAGACGGCAUCGCUCCGCCCAGACUUCUUGCCCUGGCUCGUCGCCCCGCCGUCUGGUCGCCGCUUCUCCGUUAUCAGGCUCCGCUGUGUCUUCUCCAAGACAAGCUACCAUGCCGAGGUACCCGUGACCCUCCACAAGCUCGGGUGGGUAGCGCGAGCCGACGGCACGGCGGACUGGUUCUUCAGCACACGGGACGGGCCUAGGCUCGUUGACCAUCUCACCGGGGAGGCCAUCCCCCUGCCGCCCUUCCCGCACGCCGAUAAGCGGAAGAUGAGGGAUAAGUCCCGCGGCAUCGUCUACGGCGACGGCACUGUCUUCCUCUACAACUUCUCCAAAUCUGACGACAACCAUCAGCAAGGAACGACGUCCACCAACCUCCGAGCGGCCAUCCUCAGUCCCGGCCAUACCGCAUGGACAGUCGUCGAGAGAGGGUUCAGGCUGGGGAGGAACAACAUAGCGUUCGAAAACAAUCAUUGCUUCGCCGCGUACCAUAAUGGCAAGAUCCUGGUGUGUGUGGACGGGGACGAUAGCAAUGAUAUCUGGCACCUCCUAGUGCCCACGACGGCCGGCGGCUUCCAUGCUAGUGUCAUUGAGAACGACGAGAUGUGUGCUGCGUCAUGGCGAUUCCACGGGUUCAUGGCCUUGGAUUGGCGUCUUGACACUAGCCACGUCCUAGAGUCCCAUGGCGAGUUGUUGCGAGUGUCCGUCCUGGUCCGUUCGCCCAGCCACCGGUUCUCAAAUCGUCAGAGCACCAGUAGCCAGGUGCUCACACUGGCCGUUUUGGUGCACUCCCUCGUGGAAGAGAUUGGCGUAGAUGGUAGACAGACGGUGCGGUGGGCAAGGAGGGACGGCUUGAGCUUCGCGGAUCGUGUCAUGUUUCUAGGGUUCCCAAGCAGCUUUGCAGUGGACGCUGCCAGAUUUUGUGACAGGGAGGACAACAUAAUUGCCGGGUGCGUUUACUUCUUCUUACGGUGGUCCAGAGAACACGGCUCCUCGAUGUCAUCGCCGCUUGGCGUCUUCAGGUACAACCUCAUCAACGACAAAACCAAGUUCAUGGAAUACCUACCGCACAAAUGGAGCAGCCAUAAAAACGACGCGGGUAUGUGGCUCGUGCCCCAGCCUCGCAUUGCUCCAGUUAAGACAAUUAGCGGUGCCAGAGAGAUAUCAGCGGAGGAAGAGACAAAGGCGACUUGGCUGGCCACGGCGCCUCCGUCGAGCCUGAGCCAGGAGCUCGCCGAAGGGGAUGACAUUGAUAAGACCAGAUAG
rnacentral:rRNA from 1 species